UAUAGCUUGGUGUAGUUAGAAGCAUGCUAUGUUUUGGUUGUAGCGGGGAUUGGAUGUUAGCUAUAG
rnacentral:tRNA from 1 species